UUUUUUUUUCAUGUAAACAUAUGAGAAUUGGUGUUUUCAUGUGAAUGAUAGUCAAACAUAAAUAAAUUAACACUAUUUUCGUGAAUCCUAGAAAUCCACUGGGGGGGGGGGGCUGCAGUCUCGCAGUCCCUAUUGACGAGCCGCCACUGAUGCAAAGCAUGAUCAUUCUUACCCCAUGGAAACUCCAGCUUGACAUCUUAAUUAAGAGAGACAAAAUAGUGAUCCAGUUAAAGUGCAAGAAAAAAAAAAGAAAAAAAAUCCUGCACUGAAGUCACUCUCCCUUCUCAUUUCUAAGAUGAACAACAUUUUGUAUGCAGUGAGUAUAGAACAAUCAAUCCUUCCAGUGCCAUGUGGCAUUUUGCUGGGUCAGUUAAAGAUAAUUAUCUGAGUGGCCAUCUUGGCUUGAGCCUCGUCUUUCAACAUCAUUAUCAUCUUCUGGUAAAAUGCAGUAAUGUAGUGUGAGAUAUGACUAAUACAACAAAUGCUGGCUAAAAUACUCAGCAAAAUAACCUGUAUUUGCACAGGUGAUGAAGUAGGACAAGGGAUACACAGGAUCAAAAGUGGCCAUUACAAUGUAGACUGUGAGCAAUGAGUAAAGAGUCCUUAGUGAGUGACCAAUGACCUGAACAGUAGCCAGACAUGCUGCCUACAACAAGUUUCUCCUUGUUUCUUAAUUGCUAAUGAUACAAAAUAUCUUGUUAUAUUUGCAUUCUGUCUAGAUAACAAAGACAGAGAUAUCUAAGUAAUGAAAUAUGCCACCAAAAUGUGCAAUUAUUGUGAAAAUAACAACAAAGAGGCAUUUUAAAAUUUCAUUUCAUACCUACUAUACCAUCCUGCAUGUUUUGUGAGUCACCCCUGGCUAACAUCAGAUAUCAUUUUGAUCUAGUAUGUCAUAAACAACCCAUUGUAUAUUAUUGUCUUUUUCAUCUUUAGAUAUAAUAACAGAAACAUAAAUAGCUAAUAAGGCUCUAUAUAAUGUACUUUUAUUUAACCAACAAUAUCACAACCCCUGGAAGACUGGCUGUUCAGUUCAAAAUGCCAUAAGUUUUAAGCACUGAGGGUUGAAAGCUGCUGCAGCUUCUGUGAGGGAUGCCUCACAAAUGGACUGCACUACAGUUUUUCCCCCUGUAGCAAGACACCCUGACUUUUGGCCUGUUCUUCAGUGGUCAGGUGGGCAGAGCUUGUAAGGGCUUAGAAUCUAAGCAUUUACAUAAUAACAAAAUGUUGAAAGGUAAAUUUAAUUUGUGGGAAAUGUAGUAAACCAUACACUUUUCUAUGAAAAUGCUUGUAUUCUCUGCCUCUGUAAUGAUUUAGCUACCACAUGUAGUAAAAGUCCCUUAACCUGGUGCCCCAUAUAUCUAAUUUGAAAAUAGGUGGCAGAAAUUCUGAAAUUUCACUUAAUUUAAAAUUUUUCUUCAUGAUUUGCAGACCUUUUUGUAUUAUCUAUGCCAAUAAUACAUAUGAUUAUUACUAUAUCAAAGUACUAAUAUCAUUACAUCAUAAUGAAUAACACAAUCAGGAGGAAACACAGAGCAUGACCAUAAAAACACAAAAGAGUAAACAAACCAGUGAUCAGUUACAUACCACACAAGGUUCUGCUCCUGGCCUAGUGCAUCCAGUUUCACUCAGCAGUCAUCAAGGUAAGACACUCAUAAAUCUUUACCUUACAGUGCAAAAUUUGUUUUUAUAAUAGAAGCAAUGUAUAGAUGACAUUAACCAAAAAUGUAAAGACCAUGAUUAUGUUGAUUUUGAAGACGAGUAAAAAAAGCCAUAAAUUUCACACAUCUCAUAUUUUUAAAGCCGCGAAUUUCACAUAUCUCGUAUUUUAAAAGCUAUUUUCAUCAAGUUUCCAUAUUUUGGAAAUAAUCUUUAUAUGUACAGUAGGGUAGGCGACAACGUAUGGUCAUUAUAAUGUACAACUGCCAUAACGCAAUGAAAUUUUAAUAAAUGGUUAAUCAGAAUAAUGAACCAAAACUGGCAUAAUGAACUCACCACUCGUGCAAACACUGGAAGUCCAAUAAAUAUUUAAUUGGAAUAACGAACCAAAACUGGCGAGACAAACUUACUAUUCGUGCGAGCAUUGAAAUUUUAAUAAAAAUUUAAUCAGAACAAACUAAACUUGCAAGACUAACUCACCAGCUGUGUGAGCUGCUGCUCACCUGUCUGCUGCCUGUCCUUUCCUGCCUUUUUUUUUUUUUUUUUUUUUUUUUUUUGUCUCAAAGUUCCCUCCCUGUCACCUCCUCCCCACCUUAUCUGUCAGAGACAAGGGACAAUGGAGUAACACCUAACUCUUGCUUUUGGAAUAAUACCUAGCUCUUUCCCCUCAUUUAUUUUAUGUAAUUUUCACUUCAUCCUUUCUCACUUGUAUAUGUAAUUCCAUUUUCAUCGUCAAGCAGUCUCAUUUUAUUUAGCAAUCCCUAGGAAUGUUCUUACUUUCAACGAGAGAGAGAGAGAGAGAGAGAGAGAGAGAGAGCCAUCUCCAACUUAUGGGAGUUUAGUAUAUGUAUAUGCAUGAUGCCAACAAUAGGUAAAUGUGACCGAUAAUUGUCAAAGCAGCACGAAACUCAAGGUGAUAAUGCAUGAGACUCGGGAUGGUAAGAAUUUAGGACUAGGCAGUAUAUAUUUGUUGUGCUAUCUCAAAUGCAGUAGUGCAGAUGUGCUCAUUUUUAUGUAAUGUUUAAAAAAUUGUGGAAUUAUUUGUAUAUCUGUCUGGUUCCCUGGAAGCAAUAUUAGUUUCCCAUAGGUUCUUCAGUCACCAUAACACACAUUUGCCAUAAUGAAUGCUACAUUGAAAUGAAUCAUGUUUGUUGCCGUGUAUCCUAUUGUACUUUCUCAUGUUUUAAAAACUUUUACUUAAUGUUGUUCAUUUUAUAAAUUUGGCUCUGUGUAGAGGUCCUUUGCCAUAAAUAGUGCACAUAUGGCAUCUAUGUAGUCUUAGGAGCUUGUAAAAGGAUUAUAAAAUCUUUUAAAACUUAAUAUAUAUGAAACUUAAAAUAUUAUGAAUAUUGCAUACACAUCAUGUAUGUAUUACCUAGGUUCUGGAUGGUACCAUCUCAACUCUAAAAUUGUUGCCAAUUCAGAUGACUUUGGUAUUCUCCUGUCAUUCAGAUUAAGGGACUUUUUACUAUCUGUGUUAUCCCUAAUUGGUGCGUCCAUAGUUAUAUAUUCCAAAUUAAUUCUUCAUGGGAAGUUCAAGGUUAUUUCAAAUAACAUUUAUCUCAUUGAUUCCAAUCAUAUAAAAUCAAGAUAAUAUCUUCUGGUUAUUUAUUGGAAUUUACUACAAGUACUACACAGAAAUGUGAAGAUUUUACUUAAGUUAUCUUUUUCAGAAUUGUUCUUUAUAGUUUUUAUAAAUAUAUACUAUGAGCCAGAUUUUCUAUCUUGUUUGCUUUUUUGGGUUAAGAUUGUGAUUAAUAAAGUAUAUGUACGUAUAUAUUAAAAAAGAAAAAAAACAUUGAAUAAAAUAUAAAAUCUG